GGCCUUGGAAGGCGGUCCGGGAACGCCUAUAUUGGUCCUGUCCGGGUUCGCCCGGACUAUGGCGAUAAACGCGCUUGUAAUAAGCGGACCGGACCCGGGUGCGAUUCCCGGCGGCUCCACCAUCUUCUCCCCGCGUUAUCGGCGGAGGCAUAUGGGGCCGACUAGCAUCGACGGACGUGUAAA
rnacentral:tmRNA from 1 species